CUCACGGCUCCGCAGCACGGAAGCAGCACGGCCACGGCCACGGCCCCGUCCCGAUCCCCCCCUUCAGGUGCCCCGCGGCCUCACGGCCAUCCUCCGCCCGCCCCCAGCCGGGCCCGCGGCCCCGUCCCGCAGCUCAGCCCGACGAAGGCCGCCUCAGGUGCCGCUUUCCGCUCGGCCUCAACGCUUCCCGCCCGCAGAGGCCUCACCGUGAGGCGCAGGCGACGUCCAGCAGCUGCUGACGGGACCGGUAGCGGCAGCUCUCGGGGCUCGACUGCAGCGGCGGCUUAAUGGGGGGGGAGGGGCGCGGGGGGAGGGGAAAAGGACCCCGCCUCUCGCUGCCUCACAACCGCCGGGCUGCCCGCCGAGAGCGCCUGAAACGAAGCGCUCCGCUUCUCGCUCCCAAGCCGCGCCGAGAGCAACUGUGGCACAAAAAGCCCCGUACCGCAUCCACUGGGAUAGGGAAGGAGGGGAACGGAGCGGCAGCGCGGCGAGGAAGUUCGAUGGAAGCCCUCGGUUUUAUUCAGGCGGUGACACGGCCGCACCGUACGCCUCACAACGGGCGGGGGAGCGGCGCGCGGGACAACGGCUGCGGCGCCCCCACACGGCGGGGUCGGCCCUGAGCGCCUGGGGGCAGCGCCGGGCCCGGAGCCUCGCGGGGGGCUCGUAGGUCGCGUUGGGCUGCGGUCACCGUGAGAUGUGGUCAGGACGUCGUGUGCGUGACUUUCGAGCAGUUAUUUAUCCAUCGGCAGCCCGCGGUGGUGGCAGUUGCUUCUCUCAAAAUCGCUACUGUUGUUUUUAGUGCGCGUCUCCACACCCCGAUAAGCGGGUAGCGGCGCCCUGCAGAGCACUGACUGUUGGGGUCACUGCUUCCCCUCUCCUCAGGUAUUCCUUAGUUUCGUGCCUUCACCCGAGCGACAGCAAUGAGACAGCAGGCCUCGAGGCGCUCAGCAGGCAGCCGGGAGCAGGCCGGACUGGGGCAGGGAGAGCGAAGGCCGCAGGGAAUGCUGCUGGGGGGGCGGAGAUGGGCUGCGCCCUGCGUGCUGUCAGCCACACAGCCCGGGUGAGCGUGAGGCCCUGCCGCAUCGGUCCUGUGCCCUAAAUGGCCUUCUCUAAAAACUCCACAGCACUGGCGGAGGUGGACGCCUGCCUUAAGAACCCCAUUGCUCAGCGUUGGGGUGCUGAGCAGCUCAUCAGUGCUUGAAGGUGACCGAGCAGCCCAUUCGAGCCUCAGAAACUGAUGUAGAGAGGAGUUAACCUUGCUCAAAUUAUCUUCAGCUGCACCUUCCAGUCUCAGCUGCUGUGCGUGGGACACACAGCUCCACGGAGCCCUUCACAGCAGGUGAGUGCACAGCUGAAGGUGGCAGGUGCUGCUUACACACAGCACAUCACCACUGACGUGUUCCUCAGGGAUCCCACUGGUGGUAACUGGGUGAGCUGUUGUCUGCAAUUCAUUAGGACCUAAUUAUCCUGUCUAUAUAAUAGAGAUUUAUGUAUGCAGGGGCUUUACACACAUACAUACCCCAAAUAUGCCUCAGCAUAUUUACCUCUUUCCUCUAAGAUCCCUUCAUCUCAUAGCUUCACUGUAAAGGAUGACUUUCACCACAUUAAAAGAAACAACACUGCCUUUAUUUUCUUUAAAUGAGCUUUUUUAAAUAGUUAAUACCCCUUGAUUUAGAGGAUCAGAUGGUGACUGAAAGCAGCCUACAGAAGACAUCUGCAAGUCCUAAGUACUUUUUCCUAAUGCUGCCCAAAUCAAGGUUCCUGAUCAGUAAGCACAAAUAACCUCAGCCUGCAAAUCAAAGUCAGUGGAAGGGUUUGCUCUCCACAGAGUGCAAAUUAAUAACAUCUAGAACCAGACAGAAGGCAAAGUUCUAUGCCUAAACAUGAUUGGUAUAUAAUUCAAAGGGAUUAAGCAUUACACUUGAUAGAACUCACUGAAGGUGCCACAGAGAAGACUGAGUUUGCAGUGGACUUUGAACGUAUCUGUUGAAUUAGAAGUCUGGGAAAGUUAAAGCAACAAAAACACCAAGCUGUAAGAAGUGGCAGACAACUGUCACGGAUAGGCUGUAAUCACAUGAAGGCCACCUCCCACUGUGCCCUACAUAUCGUGUAGGGAAUCUCUCCAAGCUAGUCGGAAUGUUUUUUGCUGUCUUUGUCAUGAAAAAGCCACUGCUGGUGAUAGUCAGAGUCCUGCAAGUCAGUCAGUAUUAGCAACACAGAAGACUCAUCCUUCACUAAAGCUGCAAAACAAAGAACAAGAUUAAAAAAAAAAAAAAGAGAGACCAAUCUCAAUUGUUACAUGCACAGGUAAUGGUUCCCAUGCAAAUAAUCCUAAACCUAAGCAUCACCAUCCUGAGUUGUAAAGGUAAUUGUACUGGGUAUCAGUCACAGAUAAAUUACAAUUAGGGACCUUUUACCACUGAGAAUUCAGAAGAAGGGGGAAGCUUAACACUAUAGCAAAUACAUGAAAUGAUUGGAGCAACUAAGAUCAACGUAAGCUUAAUUUAACACUUAUCAGAUCCAGAAGAGCUCUGACCUACAUUCUUGCAGCAUCACUGGGCUGUGGGCAGAAGCCAGCUGAGCAGCUGCGCAGCCAUAGGGGGAAGGGAGUUCUGACACUGAACAUGGCGUUAGCAACAGAGAGCAGCCUCCUGGACACAGCACGGGAUCAGUCCAGAACCUUGGACUAUGUUUUCAGCUAUUCCUCUUGGCUGUUUAGCUAAAAGUAAACAUAUUCUCUUAUCUAUGCCCUCUUCCCACUCCCCUCCCCCCCCCCCUCAAAAAAGAACCCUAACCACUUCACACUCCUCUUUCAUAGACAGAGAAAUGCUCUUUGUUAGUGCUGGUUGUGAUUUAGAGAUUAUGGAGAUAACAUGAUGUAAAAAGAUGAGUUUUUUUUUUUUUAAUACAAGUGUUACAUGGGAUUAUCAAAGCCUAGAGAGAACCAGGCUUGAAAGACCUCAGCUUGGCUCCUCCAAUCACAGGUUGGGAAUCAUCACAGGACUUGGUCUGCAUUUGCUGACCAAAGGGAAGGUGAGCCUGCAAGGACUGCACUGGUAUCACUGCUGGGUAGCACGGUGUGACCACUGAGCCUGGACAAGAAGCUGGUCUGUAUGCACAGGCAGUCAGACUCACAAAAGUGGUCUUUUUUUCCUUCAAGGAAUGCAGAAGGUAGGGAACAUUUUUGAGAGCAAGCAAGCAUUUUUUUUUUGUCUGAUACAGAUGCUGGAAAAAUACUGCUGAGCUCCUUGUGCUUGUGCCAAUGUUAUUUAAAGCAAUCUUGCAACAAUGCAGCAGAAAAGAAAGAAAAUUCUUGUCUCCACUGAAUUCCAGAAAAAUUGUGUCUCUGCUUCAUCAAAACCUGUGCAACAGAAGCAUCCUUAGGAUGUUGCUUUCUGUGCGAGUUGUGCCCCAGGAAGGCAGGGGAGUGGGUAGGUACUGGGGGAGGCAGUCUGCAGUUUAGAUGAUGUAACAGCAGUAGGCUGAUAAAACUCAAUCAAAUUGUCUCAGGCAAUAUCAGCUGAUUUUUUUUAUUUCUUUAUCAGCUUGUUUCUCCCUCAAAUGACAUUUGUGUGCUCUCCUUGCCUAACUAUGAGGAUUUGAGACAGCAUAAAAAAGAUAUUCAAAAGGGAAGCAAACCUACCUCAAGCAUAUUUGCCGCAUGCUUUUCCUAACCUCAUCUGCAGUCUACCUCCGUGUACUUAUACAUACUGGGUUUUGUACCAUUUUUGCCCUAGCAUCCACAGAAAUAAUUUGGACUGCUCCAGUCCUGUAGUCCCUGUUUGUGCAUAGGGAGGGAGAUGCUGCUGAGUGGCAGCUCCCCACUUCCAGCAUGGUUGGCAGAAGGGUGCCUAAUUCCACCCCGUGGCCCAGCAGUGGGGCUGUGCUGCACCUGCUGGCUUGUAAGGAAUGCGUGGCUGCCAGAGCGAGAACAGAACAAGAGUGACUUACUGUAACUGGCCUUCAGAACAGCUUCAAGCAGCUAUUUGUGAAGACCUUUGAGCACCUACUCUGAUAUUUAAGUAAACUGAGUUGGCUUUACAGGGUUUUUCUUUGCUGUGUGGGUGAUGAAGCAUGGACACAGGUACCCGGACAGGUGCUGGGGUCCCCAUGAAGACCUCCAAACGCAGCAGGACACAGUGCCAGGCAGCAGCUCCGAUGGCUCUGCUGGAGCAGUGGGUACCAGAGAUAUCCAAAGCUGCCCCCAGCCCCAGUUCUGUGGCUGCACAGUGCUGUUAUGAAGCCUUGCAGCUGUUCAAAGUCCAAAAGGCAGAUUCCGGGCUGGUACUGAUGCUGCAGACAAUAAAAAGCAGAGGCUUUAAGGUUUCAAAGUCCAUGGGAAUAAAUGUAGUGCAUUUCACAAGUCAGGCUAAGUCAAAACAUUUUGAAAAGAGAAAGCCGUGGAAAAGUGACAGUGCAGGGAAGUGCUGAGAUGACUGAGCUAACAGUGGAUAAACCUCAUGAACACAGAAUUUAUAUUGGAAAAGGAGAAGCCGGAGCAGCCUCUGAGAGCCAACACAUCUUGCCCACACCCAGGGCAGUGCCAGGCAGCGUCCCACUUCCCUGAGGACAAAGGCGGUGGCAGAGCAUGAGCAAAGCCGACUGUAAAGUGGGUCAGGCACAGAAUGAGCAGCAGAGGCUCCUUCCCAACAGCCCUCCUCCAGGGCCUCCCCACUUCCACAGAACUUACACUGACAGCUACAAUAAAGAUGGGUUUUGACAAAGUCUUGCAAUUAACCAGCAUGGUGGUGGUGGUCUCAAAUCCCCUGAGAAGUAGAGGCAGCGGGAAAACAGGCUAAAGCCUUUCCAUCAAACAUGAGAUUGCUGGUUUAAAGAGUAGAGUCCUAUUUGACAGUUCAGCACUUUGUAUUUAAAUGUAUCAUCCCAUUUCAGACAGUUCCUAUGGUGUGGUUUUGUUUUAAGAGAACAGUUGCACUUAGGGGUGAUCUGAUGAGAAAUACAGGUACGGAAGUCAGUAAGAGGACGAAGUAACAAACGCUCCAUUCAAUUUAUACCGUCUUACAGAAUGCUGCAUUUGUUUGCAGUGCUGAUGGUUCUCAUCUACAGCACCCAUCCCAAAGCUUCCACCAGCGGUGCUCACCUCGCCCAGACAGUGGACGUGGCACAAUGCAGCCAUCAGAAAAUCAGCAGAAAUGAGCUGAUGCCGAUUUGAGACCACUGGACACACCUAAAUUUAUCUGUAGUUGAUGUUGCAAACCAAAACCAAAGCCCUGACAUCUUCACAGCAGUCUGACGAUGAGGUAAUGGGAUAAACAUCCACUGUGGAUCUCACGUGCUGCAACUCAGUGAGAUGUUGCUUUUGACACAAGAACGUAGGUUGGAAUGCAUCUCAGUCUGAAGCAGCACCAGCACCAACGGCAGCUCAGAUGUGUUUUUCUAGUCUAGUCCUGGAACCUUCCAAGAAGAGAUGUUCUGGAGCCUCUCUAGUUCAUCCUUUCCAGUACCACAGUGCCCUCCUUCUCUAAAAGUGAUGCUUUUAUGUUUUCUGUAUGUUGGCAAUAUAUAUGUAAGCAUUUAAAUACAAUUAGCAAUCUGUGUUUUAUAUACUAGGAGCAAUCAGUUUCAUUUUCAUCUAUAAGCCGUUGCUUACCAUACAGUAAUUGAGAUGAGGCGCUGUAGCUCUCAACUCACCUUAAGGAAUAAUGCUUUUAAGCUACAGCACAGGUUUUAAAGGGCUAAAACAUGUUGCACUGCUUAAUUUAAAACCUAAAGUGUUGUCUCAGCCUUUUUUUUUUCCUGUAUACAUGCCAAAGAACUCCAGCCCCUUGCUCAGGAGAACACUUUGUCUUUAUCCUCAUCCAGGAGGAGCACAGCCAAAUGAAUUAGAGCUCCAAAACUUUAAAAAACCACAGUAAGCUGACUCAACUGCUUACUCUGCAGAGCUGCCUUAGUGUGUUCACGUGUCCUGAAAGAUUUCUGUGUAGUCCAGUGUUAUUUUUACUAACACUUAACCUGUUUCCAAACUAUCCUGUCUGGAACUUGCAGAGAACUGAUACAGCGCAGGCAUCUCUGUACAACCAUAGCUAAGCAGUCAGACUGCAUGUGUGGGCAAGACACCUGCAACAACCUGGAGAGGACAGCAAUUCAGAAGUUCUACAGACUGGAAAUAAAUAAAACAAAUCCUAAAUUACUACACAUUCUCAGCAUACAGGUAAAGCAAAAAGCAAUUAAAAACUGUGUGGCUGGUAGACAAGAAAGGGAUGAGCGGAACCACACCUUCAGUUAACUGAAGGCAGUGUCACAUCAUUUGAAAUUCAGAGUGGUCACUCGAUAACACGUGCCUCUUCUCCUUACAGACCAGAGCAUUUUUCCAGAACAAGUGCUUUUCACCUUCAGCCCUGUCCUGCUCCAUAUCACAGCUCCUCCUACAGCAGGAACUUGUGGUGUUACUAGUAAGGAAAUGAAGGGCUAAGAAGGGAAGAACAGAGGGAUGUAUUUAUUGAACUAAGAUGAAAAUGCAAAAAAUAAACUGAGUGCUUCCAUAUCUUAUUUUUGUGUUGUCCAUGAGAAAAUAUACAGCUGGCCUUUAGGAUUCAGCCUGAAUUCUCAGGUUGCCAGAGGAAAGACUUUUCCCCAGGCCCUCACCAUACAAUCUUUAUCAACGUGACUUUCAGCAACCAUGAAAAAAAUCCAGGCUGACCUUUGAUACUAACCAGACUGGAGUACAAUCAGGUGAAACGUCAAAGCUUUCAUCAGCAAUAUGUACGCUCACCACCUCCUUUCCAAGGCAGAAGCAUCAUCCAGGCAGACAACAAGGUAUUUAGCUGUGUCCAUCUUCACUCGCCUAUGCAUCAAGAAACCUUACAGCUAUUGUCAUCUAAAACAGCAGAGCAGCGAUACUGAGCUUGUAUGCAAAUGUGAGCAGCUGGAAACUAUCUGGCUUCAGCCUGAGGCUACAAACACAAGUGUCCAUUUACCUUGGAGAAAACAGGCACCUAUACACAUGAGCCCGUGUCAGCCAUGGCAGCUGAGGCAGCAGGGCUCUGCGGGAUGCACUGCAGGACAGCUGAGCCCUGGGGGAUGCCAAGGGACAGGCAGCAGGUGGGGGCAGGCAGAGAAGGAAUAAGAGAAUGAAGGAAUGAAAACCCACAAAUCUGUAUGCCCCAAAUCCUUCCAUCUUCUCCUUUCAAGAAGGAAAUUACCAAGGGUUUUCCUGCGUAUGGGUGUAUGUACUAAUACUUUGAGUCUGACUUAAUGAUUCCUUAGUUCAAAGAAAAGACCUCUACAGAUGAGAGGCAUUUACUUCAAUCUGAUAUACAAACUCAGAUAAAAAAACAUUACUGGAUGAUGAAGAUAGAAGGCUUUGAGCCACUCUGACAUCACCUUGCCAAGCAACCUACCGGUCUCUGCAGUGCAGAAGGAAAGGUCAAUGCUGAUCUGUGAAACAAACCGAAAUCCUAAUUACAUGCCAGUAGCAUCACAGUUUGAAGUGAAGCUUAGGUGAACUUAUGGUCAGCCAGCUGCUCAGAAAUUGGGCGGUAAUUAUUUCUAUUUUUUCUCUCCUCUUGAAUCUCACCUCCCAGCUGGCUGGCAAACAGCAUUACUAAUCCCCAUCAGAACAAUUUCUUGUUCACAAUGCGGUAUUCUUAAAAACAAAAGCCUACAAAUGGCAGUCACUGCAGUUAUGGAGAAAAGUGCAAAACCUGGAGUGACUGUCAACAUACUCUGUUGGCUUUACUAACAACUGCUUGUAUUUGCAUACAGAAACAGAACAAAUGAACUGCUUCCCACUGCAGCAGGGGAUGCAUCACGCCAAAGGCAGUAGGACAAGUCAUUCCUCUUGAUGGAAUGGUGUCAACGAAGAUACAAAGUUCUAUCUGCAAAAGUACAAAUACAGAGAAUGGCAAGCAAGAGGAAAGGGAACUUAGUGAACUCAUGAAUCUGAAGCAAAGGAGCUUUUUUUUUUUUUGCUAGUGAUCAAAGCAAAAGCUCUCAACAUGCGAGAUAAAAACAACAACAAAAGGAGCACCUCCACGUGAGCGUUAUUUUUAGAAUGCACUGCUCCCUGUAAGAGGUCACGCUUCAGAAGGACUCAGCUUUCCAGAAAUAGUUUGGAGCUCUACCUGAAGGUAGAAUUUUUGCUGAAGAAAAAAAAGUAACCCCUCAAGCCUUUCAGAAAAGGUGUGAAUUAAUGAAUUGUGAAAGGAAGUGUCUUGCAGGUUUGACAGUUAGGCAGCCCUUCAAAGAGAAAACCUCAGAAAAGCAAGGAAGUCCAAAAAAGUGUGUGAAAGCAGGCCUGCACACUUGCAACACUUCUAUAUUUUCUCUUACAGGCCAGCAGUAUGAAAAAAUCCCUCUAUUUUGUCCCACAGUCUGUGUACUGAGCCCAGAAACCAGAGUCUUCAACAGUAUGAACAGCAAGGGCCUUCCAUUAGAACAGCCAGCUAAGUUCUUUUAAGAUAUGUCCAAAAAGAAGUUGCAAGCAUGAGCCUUAACAAUGCAAAACAUAUGAAUGUGUUUUGAACAAAAUCACUGUCAGAUUCAGAUUAGUAGAAUGGAAAGUUUUAAAACAGAAGUUGACACAAAUCACACUAUUAUUUGUGUAAUGGAAGCUUGGGCAAUACACAUAGCACUGAAUUUCACGUUAUUCCUUUAAUAUUUAGAAAACUGGUUUUAUUCUUAGUUUUUCAGAUUUUCUUCUGAAGUAUUAGCACCUACAAUGGAAAUAACUCAAACUUAGAUUUACACUUGAAAGAAAGCCAUGCUCGAUCAGUUAAUUUAUCUUGUAUUUUUCUACUUUUGAAUAUUUCACAGAGCACCAAGAGGGAAAAAAGAGAGCAACAUUUCAGUAACACGUGAGCUCUGUUCUCAGCUACAUGAGAUUGCAGGACCAGACAUCUCCCUGGGAUAGAACUCAGAAGGUCACAGUUUUCCAGCACACUUCAAUCACCUCUUUUUUUUUUUUUUCAUUAUUUAUGGUGGAAACUUCUAUCCAGGUUUAUAAAACCUAUCCAGCUGUGCAUUAGUUUAAUAAACCAGAGCUGACCUGAGAUGCAAUUAGAAUUUGACAUUUUUCCAUACUUAGUUCACAAGUUUAUUAUGAAAAACACUGCAGCUCUGUCCUGCAGUAACAUUGUUUUACAGAAAAAAACAGUUCUGUUCAAAGUAAUUCACUAUGCCUGGACAAUUACAAGGGACAAUAUGGUUGGGCAAAGAGUGGAAAAGGGAACUGAGUGCAGACAAAAAAAAAAAUCAAUACAAUUAAAUUAAACAGUAUUCCCUGAAAAUAAAAACAAACAAACAGUUUCAGAACAAAUAUGAAGCCUUGGUACUUAUUUUAAAAAUGUUCUUUAAGCUUCAAUGAUUGUUUGCUGCUAUCUUUAUCUACAGUCAUGCUGAAUAAAGCUAUAGCUAAAUGGAAAGUUAAAUGUAUUCACGAGGUGUUAAUGUCUACAUCUUAUUAUUUGCAGUCUCUCAGAGAAAGCAAAAGUAACUACAAAUAGCGCUAUGCCAGAAACUGGUUUCUUG
rnacentral:lncRNA from 1 species